GAUUCUGGCUCAGGAUGAACGCUAGCUACAGGCUUAACACAUGCAAGUCGAGGGGCAGCAUUAUCGAAGCUUGCUUUGAUAGAUGGCGACCGGCGCACGGGUGAGUAACGCGUAUCCAACCUUCCCAUCACUCAGGGAUAGCCCGCCGAAAGGCGAAUUAAUACCUGAUGGUCUCCUUUGCAGACAUCUAACGAGGAGUAAAGAUUCAUUGGUGAUGGAUGGGGAUGCGUCUGAUUAGGUAGUAGGCGGGGUAACGGCCCACCUAGCCGACGAUCAGUAGGGGUUCUGAGAGGAAGGUCCCCCACAUUGGAACUGAGACACGGUCCAAACUCCUACGGGAGGCAGCAGUGAAGAAUAUUGGUCAAUGGACGGAAGUCUGAACCAGCCAAGUAGCGUGCAGGAUGACGGCCCUAUGGGUUGUAAACUGCUUUUGUGCGGGAAUAAAGUUUGGGACGUGUCCCAUUUUGCAUGUACCGCACGAAUAAGGACCGGCUAAUUCCGUGCCAGCCGCUGC
rnacentral:rRNA from 1 species